GCCUGGGUGGCUGAGUCGGUUAAGCAUCUGCCUUCAGCUCAGGUCAUGAUCUCAUGGUUUGUGGGUUUGAGUCCCACGUCCGGCU
rnacentral:tRNA from 1 species